AGUGAACGCUGGCGGUAUGCCUAACACAUGCAAGUCGAACGGCAGCACAGUAAGCUCUUUCUCUUACGGUUGGCGAGUGGCGGACGGGUGAGGCAUACAUCGGCUUCUACUUUUUCUUGGGUGAUAACGUAGGGCCACUUACGCUAAUACCUCAUACUACCUACGGGUUAAAUCAGGAGAUCUUCGGACCUUUCGCGAUUGAAUGAGCCGAUGUCGGAUUAGCUAGUUGGCUGGGUAAAGGCCCACCAAGGCGACGAUCCGUAGCUGGUCUGAGAGGAUGAUCAGCCACACUGGAACUGAGACACGGUCCAGACUCCUACGGGAGGCAGCAGUGGGGAAUAUUGGACAAUGGGCGAAAGCCUGAUGGAGCAAUACCGCGUGGGUGAAGAAGGCCUUCGGGUUGUAAAGCCCUGUUGUUGGGAAAGAAAAGCAGCAGGUUAAUACCCGGCUGUUCUGACGGUACCUAAAGAAAAAGCACCGGCUAACUUCGUG
rnacentral:rRNA from 1 species